AAAAAAAAAAAAAAGGACAUCCUCUAAAAUUGGAUAAUUUGCACUGUUUGUCCCCAAGCAAAGUGGCAAACCUUUAGAAAAAGAAAAAAGAAAAAAGAAAAAAGAAAUUAGCAAGUCAAUCGUCACUGAAAAGUUAAUAAAAACCCCAAGGAAAGAAGGCAAAUAGCGCUGUGUCAAAUCAAACCAAAUCUAAUCUGAUUAAAAGAAAAGAAAAAGAAAACCAGAAGCGGUUUCUUUGUCCAUUGAGCUUGUAGAUCAGAAGCAAUCAGUUUUCGGUCUUUGAUCUUCAGAAGCAGAGAGAAGAGAUGCAAAAUCAAGAGGAAGAAAUAGCGGAGGAAGCGAAAAUGGAGGCAAAGUCUGAAAAAGGAGCAGCAGAAGAUUGGACAAAUUUUGGAGACGAAGAUAUAAUGCAACAUCACUCUUCUAUUCGCUCCGAACAAUCCGAUAAAGUUCCAUUUCUCGGUGACAAGGAACCUCUUUCUGCAUUAGCUGCUGAAUAUCAAUCAGGGAGCCCUAUAUUGCUUGAGAAGAUUAAGGUUCUUGGCGAGCAAUAUGAUGCCAUUAGGCGAACACGGGGAGAUGGCAACUGCUUCUUCCGAAGCUUCAUGUUUUCUUACCUUGAGCAUAUUUUAGAAUCACAAGACAAGUCUGAAGUUGAUCGAAUCAAAGUUAAUGUGGAGGAAUGUAGAAAAACUCUUCAGAGUUUGGGUUAUGUUGACUUCACCUUUGAGGAUUUUUUUGCGUUAUUCCUGGAGCAGUUGGACAGUGUUCUUCAAGGAAAUGAAACUUCAAUAAGUCAUGAUGAGCUCAUAAAUAGGAGUCGAGAUCAAUCCAUAUCAGACUAUGUUGUCAUGUUUUUCAGAUUUGUCACUUCUGGCGAAAUACGGAAACGCUCUGAGUUUUUUGAACCCUUCAUACUAGGAUUAACAAAUGCAACAGUAGAACAGUUUUGCAAGUCAGCUGUGGAACCUAUGGGUGAAGAGAGCGACCAUGUGCACAUUACUGCCCUAUCAGAUGCAUUGGGUGUGGCAAUCCGCGUUGUAUACCUCGACCGCAGUUCUUGUGAUACAGGCGGUGUUAGUGUAAAUCAUCAUGAUUUCAUUCCUCCUGCUGGUGAUCUCCCAAACUCGAACAGUGAUGGUUCUCUGUCCAAGAACCCCUUCAUUACCUUGCUUUAUCGUCCAGGGCAUUAUGAUAUUCUCUACCCAAAGUGAUGCUCUUGCCCACCCUGUUUCAGCAGCUUAGGCUAAGCACUCUGCUGCUGCUGCUUUUGGAUGGUCCAAAUUGGCCGUAUGCUGCUAAUGGUUGUCAAUGGAUUUCUGGUAAAUGGUGGGGCUGUGCAAGCAGAAAAGACCCGUGGCAGGAAACUUAGUGUUGUAAGGCGAGGGCCUAAGCUCAUUUGCUUUAUGCUGUAGCUUUUUCAAAAUGUUCAAAUGCUUCUGAUUUGUGUGAGUGAGGAUAUAAAUGCAAGGUUGCUUGAAGACAAAGAACAGUCAUCACAUCUAUUGGCGGGUCCUCAUCUGGAGGGGGAAAUAUUUGUUGAUUCUGAUCUUUUCUUUUGAUAUGUUCUGUAACUCUCACUGUUGCUGUGAUACUUAUACCCCACAUAUUAAGGUGCCAAGAAUAUGUCAUUUUACAGCCAUUAGAUUUGGAUUUAAAUGUUAACAACUCACAGGAGCUGCUGUAGUAGCUGAUUACAAUCACGUUGCUCUCUGGUUGCUUUUUCAGUUGUAGGCAAAAUUAUACCAGCUAUGUCAUUGGUUCCAAACUUCAUAACGAAGUUGUUAGCGAAUUAGAGGGAAAUUUGUGCGACUAUUUAGAUUUGAUUUCCAGCGAUAUUCUUGGUUGUG